rnacentral:tRNA from 1 species
UGGAUGGGCAUAGUUUAACUAAAANCCCUAAGCUGUGGACUUAAAAACAAGAGCCGA